rnacentral:tRNA from 6 species
GGGCCCGUAGCUCAGUCUGGCAGGGCAUCUGGCUCUUAACCAGAAGAUCGCGGGUUCAAAUCCCGUCGGGCCCA